GUACGUAGGGGCUGGCGUUAUUCGGAAUUACUGGGCGUAAAGGGUGCGUAGGUGGUUUCUUAAGUCAGAGGUGAAAGGCUACGGCUCAACCGUAGUAAGCCUUUGAAACUGGGAAACUUGAGUGCAGGGAGAUGAGAGUGGAAUUCCUAGUGUAGCGGUGAAAUGCGUAGAUAUUAGGAGGAACACCAGUUGCGAAGGCGGCUCUCUGGACUGUAACUGACACUGAGGCACGAAAGCGUGGGGAGCAAACAGGAUUAGAUACCCUGGUAGUCCCUGA
rnacentral:rRNA from 1 species